GGUUGCAUAGUCUAGUGGUUAUGAUAUCUGCUUUACAUGCGCUGUAUAAUCGCAGAGGGUCCCAAGUUCGAACCUUGGUGCAGCCA
rnacentral:tRNA from 1 species